rnacentral:rRNA from 1 species
GAUGAACGCUGGCGGCGUGCCUAAUACAUGCAAGUCGAGCGAACAGAUGAGGAGCUUGCUCCUCUGACGUUAGCGGCGGACGGGUGAGUAACACGUGGAUAACCUACCUAUAAGACUGGGAUAACUGCGGGAAACCGGAGCGAAUACCGGAUAAUAUAUUGAACCGCAUGGUUCAAUAGUGAAAGACGGUUUUGCUGUAACUUAUAGAUGGAUCCGCGCCGCAUUAGCUAGUUGGUAAGGUAACGGCUUACAAAGGCAACUAUGCGUAGCCGACCUGAGAGGGUGAUCGGCCACCCUAGAACUGAGACACGGUCCAGACUCCUACGGGAGGCAGCAGUAGGGAAUCUUCCGCAAUGGGCGAAAGCCUGCCGGAGCAACCCCGCGUGAGUGAUGAAGUUCUUCGGAUCGUAAAACACUGUUAUUAGGGAAGAACAAAUGUGUAAGUAACUAUGCACGUCUUGACGGUACCUAAUCAGAAAGCCACGGCUAACUACGUG